rnacentral:rRNA from 1 species
UACGGGGGGGGCAAGCGUUGUUCGGAAUUACUGGGCGUAAAGGGUUUGUAGGUGGCUUGCUAAGUCAGACGUGAAAUCCCUCAGCUUAACUGGGGAACUGCGUCUGAGACUGGUGAGCUUGAGUGCAGGAGAGGAACGCGGAAUUCCAGGUGUAGCGGUGAAAUGCGUAGAUAUCUGGAGGAACACCGGUGGCGAAGGCGGCGUCUGGACUGCAACUGACACUGAGGAACGAAAGCCAGGGGAGCAAACGGG